GUAGGGAAUAUUGGGCAAUGGGCGCAAGCCUGACCCAGCCAUGCCGCGUGCAGGAUGAAGGCGCUCAGCGUUGUAAACUGCUUUUAUCUGGGAAGAACUGUAGGCCUGCGGGUUUGCUUGACGGUACCAGAGGAAUAAGCACCGGCUAACUCCGUGCCAGCAGCCGCGGUAAUACGGAGGGUGCAAGCGUUGUCCGGAUUUAUUGGGUUUAAAGGGUGCGUAGGUGGGCAAAUAAGUCUGGUUUGAAAGCUGGUGGCUUAACCAUCAGAUGUGGCUGGAAACUGUUUGUCUUGAAUGGGUUGGCGGUAGCCGGAACGGGUCAUGUAGCGGUGAAAUGCAUAGAUAUGACCCAGAACACCGAUUGCGAAGGCAGGCUACUACGACUUGAUUGACACUGAGGCACGAGAGCAUGGGUAGCGAACAGG
rnacentral:rRNA from 1 species